AUUGCAUGCAGAGACUGCACAGGUCUGACAGAAAAAUAUGUCCACAAACAUUUUUCUAUUUCUAGCUUUUAAGUAUUUAGUGCAUAGUAGACCAAAAGACACGAUUCAAAAAGAGAAGGCCAGAUGGAAGAAAAGAUGGGAAGCCAUCCCGAUUUUGAAAAUUUUAAGAAAUGUACACAAAACCAAAGAGCAGACAUGAGCAGGGAAAACAAAGUUUGAAGAGGAGACAGGGAGCGCAACCCUUCCGGAGAAAAGAAUCGUCCUGAUCGGCAGCCGAUGGGGAGCACAUAAAGCUGUUGGGAGAGCGGGUCUGGCGGUUCACCAUGGUGCUGUUCACCUGUGGGGAUUACCUCUGGGAAAAGACGAUGGAGCAGCACAUCGCUGCUGCAGUCUGUUCCUCCUGCAGUUGCUGCUGCUGCAGUCUGUUGCUGCUGCUGCAGUCUGUUCCUGCUGCUGCAGUCUGUUGCUGCUGCUGCAGUCUGUUGCUGCAGUCUGUUGCUGCUGCUGCAGUCUGUCCGGCGCUCUGCUGUGAUUUAUAGACCAACAGAGGAGCUAAUUGCACUGUUUCUACGUUGACCACCAAUUUCCAGUAAACACCAUCUAACUUGUUGGAGGCUGUGAUAAACGCAGCAUGAGUGUUUAUGACAGGAUAAAUUGACGAACCUGUCACUUAUAUAAUAUUCAGAAAAUAUCACCGGCUCAAAAGCAAUUCUUAUUUUCAAUGAUAACUAGUAGAAAUGUUUUCUGUUUAUUUCAAUUUUUCCUGGUUUCACAAUUUGAAAACGAAAACACAAAUAGUGGUUGUGUUUCAUUCCUACAUCUUUUUCUGUCAAUAUUCAUGGUUAUAAUUGUGAUUCUUUAAAUAUUUUUUUCUCAAAAGAGCUGGAGGACACCAUGUUUUGUCUUGGUACUAAGUUUCCAUCAGCAAAGGUUAUUUUAUCUUCUAUCAUGACCCUGCUGGCUCCCAGGAGUAGGACGAUGUUCCCGAGAGAGCAUUUCACUUCCCAAUGCAUCUUACUGUCUCCUCUAGUGUGAAUUUUGAGUAUUGAUACAUUUCUCUAGUGAGUCAAGAGAAGAUGUGCCGCUGACCACUAGGUGGUGCUGCUGUUGCACAUGAGAAUGAGGGAUUGUGAAGGAGCUGAGGAACAGAGGAGUUUGGCUAAUAUUAGCAACUAUGUUAAAGUGUCUGGGACAAAUGUGAACACUUAGUGGAACUGUGUUUUGUCUGGUAACUAACAGGAAAACGCUGCAAUGUGAUAAACGAAUAGCUCACUGUCUUCAAACAUGUAUUUCAAGAAGAAAUGCAAGAUCCAAUUUAUUCUCUAAUACAAUAUGAUCCUCAAACACAAAGGAUAAAAAGGUCAUACAACAACAUCGUACCUCUAACAUGCAGACAAGAAACCCAGUUUUUGGUUUUGUAUUUCUGCAAAACUGAGUUGAAGAUCCUGAUUGAAUUCCAACAUCUACAGAAAUUACAAAAAAAAUCAUUAAACCUAACAAGCUAACAGAUAACUUCCAUUUAAUUAAUUAUUAGACUGAGAAAAUUAAACAUAGCAGCUUACCUAGUGGUUGUAAAACCUGGGACUUCAAGGCUUUUAAACCCUUGUUCUCUAACUUCUUACACUAUUUAAUACACUUCACACAAGCUUUUGAUGGAUUUUUUUCUCCAACUAUUGAAAUCUUUGUUUACACACUUUUACUCAUUUUGCAGAGGUUUCAGAUGUAACCGUAUGUGUAGACACAGAGGUACUGCUGCAGAAGAAAAAGGACCAUGUUAUUUCUAAAUGUUAGCUAAUGAAUUAAACACACAGCAUGCUUCACUGCACAGGUGGAUAAAAACACAAAGGAUAAAAAGGUCAUACAACAACAUCAUACCUCUAACAUGCAGACAAGAAACCCAGUUUUUGGUUUUGUAUAUUUGUUGUCCAGAAACAACAAAAAUAAAAACAUUAUAGUUUUACUUUGAACAUUCUCAAGUUAAACAAAAAUGCAAAUAAAUAAUUUAUUUAUUGUCAAAUUCAAAUCCAGAAAAAAAAAUUGCAUUAUUUUGCAAUUUCACUUAAUUUGAUUUUACAUGCUAGUGAGUUUUUCAUUCAAGCAGCUGGCUGUACAAGUUCAGAUUUCUUGUUGCGGAAAUUCUGAAAUUGAUUUGUAAAGACGCUCAAAUCCCAUCUUCAAGUUAAUUUAUUCUGAAAGGGAAAGUU